UAACGAUCUUGUUAGAGAAAAAUGGAAAGCUCUGCUUCUAACGAUAGUAGAAAUGGAACACGAAGAAGUAAUCGCUUAAAAAUAUCAUCGAUGAUCAUCAAAAAUUCAACUAAAUAUACAUAUAUCGAAUUAUAGAGUUUCUUUUCAAUUCAUAAUAUCUAAAUUUAAUAGGACAAUCAUCCACCAUAGCAGGCCACCAUAAGUUCUUCUGGAAUAAUACAUGAUGCUAUUUUCAUAUCUAUAAAAUUAAAUAUUUUAACUAUAGAAUUAUGCCAAUAAGUUGUCUAACAAAGUGAAGGAUUUUAUAAUUUUUUAUUUAAUAAUAUCAUCAAUGUAUUUAUUUUGAGAAAUUUGUUUACC